GAUGAACGCUGGCGGCGUGCCUAAUACAUGCAAGUCGAGCGAACAGACGAGGAGCUUGCUCCUCUGACGUUAGCGGCGGACGGGUGAGUAACACGUGGAUAACCUACCUAUAAGACUGGGAUAACUUCGGGAAACCGGAGCUAAUACCGGAUAAUAUAUUGAACCGCAUGGUUCAAUAGUGAAAGACGGUCUUGCUGUCACUUAUAGAUGGAUCCGCGCCGCAUUAGCUAGUUGGUAAGGUAACGGCUUACCAAGGCAACGAUGCGUAGCCGACCUGAGAGGGUGAUCGGCCACACUGGAACUGAGACACGGUCCAGACUCCUACGGGAGGCAGCAGUAGGGAAUCUUCCGCAAUGGGCGAAAGCCUGACGGAGCAACGCCGCGUGAGUGAUGAAGGUCUUCGGAUCGUAAAACUCUGUUAUUAUGGAAGAACAAAUGUGUAAGUAACUAUGCACAUCUUGACGGUACCUAAUCAGAAAGCCACGGCUAACUACGUG
rnacentral:rRNA from 1 species